GAUGAACGCUGGCGGCGUGCCUAAUACAUGCCAGUCGAGCGAACAGACGAGGAGCUUGCUCCUCUGUCGUUAGCGGCGGACGGGUGAGUAACACGUGGAUAACCUACCUAUAAGACUGGGAUAACUUCGGGAAACCGGAGCUAAUACCGGAUAAUAUAUUGAACCGCAUGGUUCAAUAGUGAAAGACGGUUUUGCUGUCACUUAUAGAUGGAUCCGCGCCGCAUUAGCUAGUUGGUAAGGUAACGGCUUACCAAGGCAACGAUGCGUAGCCGACCUGAGAGGGUGAUCGGCCACACUGGAACUGAGACACGGUCCAGACUCCUACGGGAGGCAGCAGUAGGGAAUCUUCCGCAAUGGGCGAAAGCCUGACGGAGCAACGCCGCGUGAGUGAUGAAGGUCUUCGGAUCGUAAAACUCUGUUAUUAGGGAAGAACAAAUGUGUAAGUAACUAUGCACGUCUUGACGGUACCUAAUCAGAAAGCCACGGCUAACUACGUG
rnacentral:rRNA from 1 species